UUUGCAUCAUUACCUUUUGAGACAAUAGUAAGAGCUGGAGGAGAAACGUUGGAAAGGGGAAGACAGAGGGGGCCAUGGAAGGGGCUCAGGAUCUUUUGCAGAAGUUUCAUAACAUGUGUCUUAUCAAUGAUUUCUUUCAUGUACAACAAAAGACUUUCUACUACUAGAGAGACUGGAAAAGUUUGAAGAUUCCUAUGAGAAGAACUAGCAGGAAAGACAAAUAUACUUAGUAUUAUACCACAGUUAGUUAAAGUCAAGUUAUUCUUCAUGACCUGUCUGUUCGACUCAUCAGAAUCUGGAUUUUGAGUUUCCUAGUUAUUAAGGAAGACCUUUUUCAUACAGCAUGAUCAAAAUUCCAGUUAAUCACGAGCUACGGAUAGGCAUGAGGAUCAAAAAUUCAAGACCAGCCUAGGUAACAUAUCUGUACCCUGUCUCCAGAUGAGAAACAGGGCUGAGGAUGUCACUCAGUGGUAGAGCACUUGCCUAGCAUGCUCAAAGAUCUAAGUUGAAUCUCAACUUAGUACCUCAAAAUGGAGGAGGAUGUCGACUUUUGAAGAUUAGAAAACAAACUGGUGAAUUCCACCAAAAUGUAUACUCUUGAAUUCUAAUAAACUUCUAAGGUGUUUGUUACCCAUUUCCACUCAAACUGAAAAACAUUACAUUUAUUCUCCAAAGGACAGAAGGACAGUGAGAGAGUCCAGAGACCUUCAAUCUUAGCAAUGCCACAUGUUCUGCUGAAGAUGAUGAUGAUAAGAGUUCUGCUUACCCAGCCAAGGCUGUGGACUGCUUCUGCACCAACCCUUUGGAGUGGUUCCUUGGUGCUAAGACCACAAGGAGUAGCACCACGGUAGCCAACAACUCUAGCUGUUUUUGCAGCAUCCUUUGUUUUCCUCUCAAGAGCUCCUUCUUGCAUCUCUCUUGGUCUAUUUCAGUUGAUUAAUUCAUUCCCUGAGCCCAUUCUGACUUAACAUUUAUUUUUGUUGUUUACAGGCAGUGGAACGGGCAUGCUAGGAUAGGAGCUUGUUGGAGGACAGUAUGAUGUGCUCAGAGUGCUAAGUGCAACGAUGUAUUAUUCUACAGCACAGGGCUUGCUUGAUGGAUGCAUUAGUUAUACAUUGUCGAAUGCAAAAAGAAAAACUAUAAUAUACAUGAUAAUAAUUGACACACCUAAAGUACUAGUCACAUACCAGAUCAUGUUCUCCGACCAUUUUACAUAAUUAUUUUAAAGUUAUUUUUAAUCUGUACAAUUUUCCCUUUGAUUCAAAGGAAAAAAACCAAAAUGGUUCAUGAAUAGACCCAAGAUUGCACAAUUACUAGAUGUGAUUAGUAUGAAGUCAUUCAUUGUAUUAUCAUUCAUAAUGGCAAACUGAGAUGCAAACGUGAUUGGUAUGAAGUCAUUCAUAUAUUAUUGAUAUGAAGUCAUAUGUUAUAUAUAAUUCAUUCAUUCCAUAUGUUAUCAUUCAUAAUGGCAAACUGAGAUGCAAAUGUGAUUGGUAUGAAGUCAUAUAUUAUAUAUAAUUCAUUCAUUCCAUAUGUUAUCAUUCAUAAUGGCAAAUUGAAGUGCAAACAUGAUUUGUAUGAAGUCAUUCAUAUAUAUAUAUAUAUACAUAUAUAUAAC
ensembl:lncRNA